CAACCUCUGGCGAAAGACGUGUAUGUUG
rfam:Flavobacterium haoranii strain DSM 22807 genome assembly, contig: Ga0131240_106